rnacentral:rRNA from 1 species
UACGAAGGGGGCUAGCGUUGCUCGGAAUCACUGGGCGUAAAGGGUGCGUAGGCGGGUCUUUUAAGUCAGGGGUGAAAUCCUGGAGCUCAACUCCAGAACUGCCUUUGAUACUGAGGAUCUUGAGUUCGGGAGAGGUGAGUGGAACUGCGAGUGUAGAGGUGAAAUUCGUAGAUAUCGAAGAACACCAGUGGCGAAGGCGGCUCACUGGCCCGAUACUGACGCUGAGGCACGAAAGCGUGGGGAGCAAACAGGG